ensembl:lncRNA
GUUUCUAUUUACAACAGCCGUCGCUCACCCUCCCUCGCCUCCAAACCGGGCUCGUUUUCCGCUUUUAAUUCUCCCUUUUUUUUUUUCCUUUUAUUUACACCUCCGUUAUCCGUGCCGUGAGCAAGCCAAGGACAGCGAUGGCUCGGGAGGAAGACGGAGGUGGAGGGGAUGUGAGCAGGGCCGGGGCRCUCUGAACGGGUUGGAUCUCCCUGCCGAGAUCCUGGCCUUUCCCACUGAGAUCCCGGCCCUUCCGGCGCCUGCUUCCAACUGGUUCAGAUGGUGAUGGCGGUUUUCUGGCAGAUCCAGGAGAUCGCGGAGCCGCAGUCCUCGGCCACGAUCCGGUUGCCCUUCAGCGACCUGCAGCCUUUGCUGGAGCCCGGCGGGAGCCUGCGGGAGCGGAAGAGGAUCCGCGUAGCAGCGCUGGGAUCCCCCGCGGGUGACGGCACCUCGACAUCCGUCCCUGGGGGCUGCUCUGGGGCGACGCACUCACCCGCUCUGAUCCAGGCAGGAGCCGUUGAGCCGCAUCCGUCUCCGAUCCAGGCCAGAGAUGUCGAUCCAGAAGUAUUUAGAGGGUUUCUUUGYGAUGUCCUUUACGAACUCCUGCAGCGGGGACAGGGCAGCUGGGGGCCAUCCCAGCCCGUGUCCUCAACCGCGUCCAUCCCGGAUGAGCCUGGCCACAUCCGGCUCCUGGAUGGACCCUUGUUCCCCAGGACCGAGCCCCCCCAGCAUUCCCUGCGCUCCGACGCUGGCCAAGGCGUCCAGGGGGGUUUGGCCACACAGGCGGGCACCGAUUCCGGCUUUCCGGGCAUCUCCAGCCCCUCGGAUGCAGCCCUGGAUCUCAGGGGGGGUCCAUCCCAACGUUCCCAACCGCAUCCCCCUCCCCGUUUACCAGCUCAUCGCAGUCCUCCGGCAUCAGCAGCUCGGCGUCCCGGGAASUGCAGUUCUCCCGGCUCUUGUCCCAGGACUGGGCCCCGUCGGCCACCCAGUAGCACUUGCGCCCGCGCCGUGUCCAGCCCGGCGGGCAGAGCCGGCAUCCAUCACCCUCUGUGGACACAGGGACGGAACAACAGCAAGGGCGUGUUAGCCGGAGUCGGGAAUGCCGUUUUGGGGGGGAUCCCGUGGUGGCAGGGAGUUACCUGCUGGAUCCUGCUCCUGCGGGGGGCACAGGGACUCCCGGAGGUGCUGGCGGUCACGGGCCACGGCAUCCCCACAAUCCGCCGGCGUCACGUCCCUGUAAUCCGCUGGCGUCACAUCCCCGCAUCCAUCUGUGACAUUUCCCGGCUUCUCCAACCGCAGGUAGUGAACUGCAAGGGAAGGACGGAGCAGAGGAGAAGGGGGGCAGCGGCGACACCUCCGAGGUGCCGCAUCCUGGUGCCAGGAGCGACCUCGGAGGUGUCGCCGCUGCCUCCCUUCUCCUCCGCUCCGUCCUUCCCUUGCAGUUCACCACCUGCAGUUGGAGAAGACGGGAAACGUCACGGACGGACACAGGGACGUGACGCCGACGGAUUGCAGGAACGUGACGCCAGGGGAUUGCAGGGACGCGACGCCGGCGGUUUGCGGGGAUGCCGUGGCCCGUGACCGCCGGCACCUCCGGGAAGCCCUGUGCCCCCCCCAGGGGCAGGAUCCAGCAGGUAACUCCCCGCCGCUGCGGGAUCCCCCCCAAAACACCAUUCCCAACUCCGGCUAAUGCGCCCUUGCCGUUGCUCCGUCCCUGUGUCCGUAGAGGGCGACGGAUGCUGGCUCUGCCCGCCGGGCUGGACGUGGCGCGGGCGCAAGUGCUACUGGGUGGCCGACGGGACCCAGUCCUGGAACAAGAGCCGGAAGAACUGCAGUUCCCAGGAUGCYRAGCUGCUGAUGCCGGAGGACUGCGAUGAGCUGGUAAACGGGGAGGGGGAUGCGGUUGGGAACGUUGGGAUGGACCCCCCCUGAGAUCCAGGGCUGCAUCCGAGGGGCUGGAGAUGCCCGGAAAGCCGGAAUCGGUGCCCGCCUGUGUGGCCAAACCCCCCUGGAUGCCUUGGCCAGCGUCGGAGCACAGGGAAUGCCGGGCUGGAUUCGGUCCCGGGGGACAAGGGUCC